CCUACGGGUGGCUGCAGUGAGGAAUAUUGGUCAAUGGGCGUAAGCCUGAACCAGCCAAGUCGCGUGAGGGAUGAAGGUUCUAUGGAUCGUAAACCUCUUUUAUCAGGGAAUAAAGUGUGGGACGUGUCCUAUUUUGUAUGUACCUUAUGAAUAAGGAUCGGCUAACUCCGUGCCAGCAGCCGCGGUAAUACGGAGGAUCCGAGCUUUAUCCGGAUGUAUAGGGUUUAAAGGGUGCGGAGGCGGCUUUUUAAGUCAGCGGUGAAAGUCUGUAGCUCAACCAUAGAAUGGCCGUUGAAACUGGGGGUCCUGUGUAUGUUUGAGGCAGUCGGAAUGCGUGGUGUAGCGGUGAAAGGCUUAGAUAGCACGCAGAACCCCGAUUGCGAAGGCAGCCUGCCAAGCCAUGACUGACGCUGAUGCACGAAAGCGUGGGGAUCAAACAGGAUUAGAUACCCGUGUAGUC
rnacentral:rRNA from 1 species